rnacentral:rRNA from 1 species
UACGUAGGGGGCUAGCGUUGUCCGGAAUCAUUGGGCGUAAAGAGCGUGUAGGCGGUCCGGUAAGUCCGCUGUGAAAGUCGGGGGCUCAACCCUCGAAUGCCGGUGGAUACUGUCGGGCUAGAGUGCGGAAGAGGCGAGUGGAAUUCCUGGUGUAGCGGUGAAAUGCGCAGAUAUCAGGAGGAACACCUAUUGCGAAGGCAGCUCGCUGGGACGUAACUGACGCUGGGACGCGAAAGCGUGGGGAGCAAACAGG